UACGUAGGGUACGAGCGUUGUCCGGAAUUAUUGGGCGUAAAGGGCUCGUAGGUGGCGUGUCGCGUCUGCCGUGAAAGCCCAUGGCUUAACUGUGGGUCUGCGGUGGAUACGGGCAGGCUGGAGGCUGGUAGGGGCAAGCGGAAUUCCUGGUGUAGCGGUGAAAUGCGCAGAUAUCAGGAGGAACACCGGUGGCGAAGGCGGCUUGCUGGGCCAGUUCUGACGCUGAGGAGCGAAAGCGUGGGGAGCGAACAGG
rnacentral:rRNA from 1 species